rfam:Schistosoma rodhaini strain Burundi genome assembly, scaffold: SROB_scaffold0000463
AUCCAGAUAAAGAGUCCCAAAUAGGACGGAACGCGCAUCCUGGAU